AUCGAACGCUGGCGGCAGGCUUAACACAUGCAAGUCGAGCGGUGUGAUGGUGCUUGCACUAUCACUUAGCGGCGGACGGGUGAGUAAUGCUUAGGAAUCUGCCUAUUAGUGGGGGACAACAUCUAGAAUGGGGUGCUAAUACCGCAUACGUCCUACGGGAGAAAGCAGGGGCUCACUUGUGACCUUGCCCUAAUAGACGAGCCUAUGUGGGAUUAGGUAGUUGGUGGGGUAAAGGCCUACCAAGGCGACGCUCUGGAGGCGGUCUGAGAGGAGGGUGCGCCACACUGGGACCGGGACGCGGCCCAGACUCCUACGGGAGGCAGCAGUGGGGAAUAUUGGACAAUGGGGGGAACCCUGAUCCAGCCAUGCCGCGUGUGUGAAGAAGGCCUUAUGGUUGUAAAGCACUUUAAGCGAGGAGGAGGCUCUUUUGGUUAAUACCCAAGAUGAGUGGACGUUACUCGCAGAAUAAGCACCGGCUAACUCUGUGCCAGCAGCCGCCGCAG
rnacentral:rRNA from 1 species